CUAGUCUUAAGAAGUAGGGGACUAAUUGGGUUAAUUGAGGUCACAUGUUAGACCAAGCCGAACCAAUCUAAAAUCGUUUAUAAGAUGAUCAUGGUUAGUCUUAACCAAAAAAUGUCACGCCUUUACUAAACCAAAAUUUUAAAAUCUUGGUUUAGGUCUUUCGCAGCUAACAAUUAUGACGUGUACAACGCUGGAAUUUAAUUAUUUAUUUUCUAAAACGGAUAUUUUUGUCUUGUGAUCUUCCUUUUCAAAAUUUGGAUCUUCUAUAUAACAGAAGCAAAUAGCCGUUUGAGGAAGAAAAACGUAAACAAUCUCUCUCUCUCCCUCUCUCUAAUAACUUCCCUUUUUUUGAAACCCCAAAUUCUCCUAUUACGUACCGGUGCUUUUUCCCGGCGGCUUUGCUUGGGCCACCGACGAUCAAACACUAGAAAGGACGUUCUCGUUUCUAAAGUGAGUCACACGAGUGAUCAAACUCCCAGAUUUAGGGUUCCGUCGAGGCAAUUCCAAUCAUUCUGAUUCCAAGAUUGACAUGUUUACUUGAUUCGAUUAUCGUUACUCUGUCUCUCGCUCUUUGUUAAUCUUACCUAAUUUAUCUCAAUUGAUCGCGAGAAUUAGAAGAUCAAGGGGAUUAUGAUUCGGGAUCUUCAAGGACAAUAAAUCUUUAAUGGGAUGAUAUCGAAGAGAUGAUCGGGAAAGAGUUUGAUGGCCGUAGCUUCCCCGUGAAUGAUUGUUUCAUGUUCUAUGAUUAGUUGUUGGCCAGUCACCAAAACCGUCUUGAUUUGCUACGUUACUUGACUGAGAAAUAAGUGUUAUUUGGGUCUCAAUAGCCAACCUCCUAGUUAAUAUGAAGGAGAGAUCAUUGCUUCAGUAAUGAAAAUUGAUGGAGGAGUGCUACAAGACAUUUGAUCUCCAUUUUAAGUGGCUUCUUCAGUAUUGGAUCAGUCCAUACUUUUGCAAAUGGUUUGAAGUAUCGAAAUAUGUGCAGGUAUGCUUAUUAUAAUCAUUCCUCACAUAUCUUGGAUUGCGGCAAAGUUUCCUAAGAAAUGUGUCAUACUUUGCAUUUCAGGCAAUAAUGAACAAGUUGCAGAUAUAAAGACACGAGUCUGCUAUGAACUGUCCUCUGAUGGUUUCGACAGUUGAUGAGUUGGUGUCCCACUUUUGAAACCCAAGGUUUUGAAUAUUUCUCUACUUCAAAAUUUCCAGCUCUGAUUUCCCUGUUUUUACUUAAGUUAUUUUCAUUAUGACAAGGUGAUAUUUCUGUUCAUUCGACAAGAUUUGAUAGAUUUUUGUAAGGAUAUUACAGUUGCCACCAUAAAUCUUACAAUCAAACUUUUGGGUGCUUUACAUCAGUUUGUUGGUUCAGGUCGCUAAGAAUUCCUUUAAGCUGCUUCUGCUUAUUCUAACUUGUUUUGUUAGAAGAACAUAUGUUUGCAGACUACAAAAGGUUUCGUAGUGAAGUCAAACCUGCACUACUAAGACGCUGAAUAUGAGAAAAAUCUUUUAAAGGCUUUGAGAUUACUAUUGGUGUUAAAGUAGCCAUGGGAUCAACUGUCAAGAAGGCGAGCAAGGUUGAUUACUAUUGGUGUUAAAGUAGCCAUGGGAUCAACUGUCAAGAAGGCGAGCAAGGAAUUCUAUCAACCAAUGUUCCAAAAUGUCUCCCAGAAGCACAUGAGAGACUGCACCUUGGUUUCUCUUGAUUGGUGGCUUGGUAUUGUGCAAAUUGACAAAACGAAUCCGAGACUGGAUGAUGAAGGGGAUUCUGACUCGUGAUCUUCAACGACAAUAACUCCAUGGGAUGCUAUCAAAGAGAUGAUCAGGAAAGAGCUUGAUGACCGUAGCUUCACCGUGAACGAAGCCAGUCAAUAGAAAGAGACGGUAGAGUUUAAUCACGUGGAGCCAAAAAUGACGGAUCUAUAUGGAAUGAAAGUUUAUAAUAACUUGAAGAUGUCAAGCCUACCGAGAUGGGUCUUAAGAUUGAAAGCAGUUGGUUCUCUAGUAAAACCAGAUACUAGGGCUCUUUGUAUGGAAAGAAAAACUUGAAGGUAUUUGUUAGCUUGGUUAGUUUUUUUGAAUUCUAUUGUCGUACAGCAAAUUUGGCUUUGUAAGAGGAGAUACAAGGUCUAGAAGAACUAGACAAGUAAGUCGAAAUCUUGGUCUGGUUGUUGUGUGGAGUUCCUGGUUGGGAUGAGAAAUAUAUGCAGGCACUGCUAUGAAGUGCCCUAGUAUCUACGAAGCUGUUGGUCAUGGAUUUGUUUUCAAGAGGCUCCCACCAGAAAUGUUACCGUCAAACUUUUGGGUGCUUUACACAAGUUUGUUGGUUCAGACUUCAGAGGGUUUCUUAAUGAUGUCAAACCUACACUACUAAGUGGACUUGACGCCGAAUAUGAGAAGAACAAAAAAAUCUCUUUUAAGAUGCGUUUGGAGUUAACUGAAGCUGUAAAUAAAAUUCUGGAAGAGGCGAGUAAACGUAUCCAGCCAACUGGAACUGAUUUAGAAUGUGACCAAGAAGGUUGGGACUGGGAAACCGAGUGGAGGAAAAAACAAGUGGAUCUGUAUGAAAUGAAAGUUGAACCACCUGAAGAUAUCUAGCAUGCGGAAAUGGGUCUUAAAGCGAUUGAAACAGUAGGUUCUCUUGUAAAACCAGAAAAUGGAGCUCUCUUCAUCACUGGUGCUUAUCUCUUUCUAUAUCUCAUUUUUCGUUUUACUUGAGAGGUUAGUUCAUUUUAAGUGGUUAUUCAUCAAGUCAUUGGAAUCAUUACUCACAUAUCUUGGACUGCGGCUAAGUUUCCUAUGAAAUGUGAUGUACUUUCCAUUACAGGCACUAAUGAACAAGUUGUAGAUAUAAAGACACGAUCCUCUGCUAUGAAGUGGCCUACUGCAUUCUACGAAUCAUUUGGUCCUAAAUUUGAUAUCAAGAAGUUCCGUGUUGGUUCGGUAACUUUUCAUUGACUUUCAUAUUAGUAAGAUCACAAUGAUGAUUCAUGGCUUUUGUUUGUAGCUUUUAAAAAACAUGAAGGAGCACAAGAAUCCCAAGGUUCUUAGUGAAGGCUUGUUAUGGAUGGUUUCAGCAGUUGAUGACUGUG